UCUGCCAUUACAUGUGUUGCCCACUGGCUGAUCCCUGACCAUCGACCUCAAAAACCUAGGACUCUAAACUGUGAAUAGUGAAAUUGCUUUAUCCCUAAAGGAGAUUUUGAAGGAACUGCAGAAUGGAAGAGAGAAGCAUAAGGAUAUGAAAGCCACAAAUAGCACAGACGAAACAGGACAUAGGACAAGAAACAGCAAAGUGUCAUAGAAUAAAGAAAAUAAAGUAUGGCACGGUUGAUGGGGAAAUUCCAGUAAACAGUAUAAAAAACACAAAGGAUACUGGUAGGGGAGCAUUGACUAAAAUAAACAUAGAAGACAUUAGGGUACACAA
rnacentral:lncRNA from 1 species